CUGGGACUCUUCUCUCUUGAAUUAGUCCUUUGAGUAUCAGCUCUGAGUGAAUUGUUUGUCCUUUAGGUAACCCGGAUCCUUGCCAGUUUCAUUCUCUAUUUCUGUUUACCCAGGGUCCAUUUUCUAGGCGUAGCUUGAAAGCUCCCCUUGAAGCUCCUUCUGGAUGGUGGAUCCGAGGAGGCAGAGACCAUUGACAAAUAAGCUGCUGAUGGAGUGGGCCUCGUGGAAGAUGUGUGAUGUAAAUUAAGCCUUGACAGAUUGAGCCACUUAAUCGAAAUAGCACGUUUAAAAAAGAAAUUCCUAGCAAAACAAAAUUCCGGAAACAAUUGGCUUUGCUGUAUAUGCCAUCCACAAUGCUUCUCCGUGGCAAGUGAGGAUUUGGGCUCCGACCAGGAAAACACAAACUGCUGUCAUAUUCAGUGCGGGAACUAAACUCCUAAACUCCAGUAGACUGUAAAACAAGGAACAGAAGAGGGAAGCCAGAAAGGAGCCUUUUGUCAUGAGAAUCAAGCUGAAGUCCCUAAACUGCUAAGGGAGGAGGUCGGGGGUCAUCGGUCAUUAAUUGGAGCAUAACAGAAGAGUGGAGAACAAGGCUUUUCUCUCACUCCAGUUUUGGGGGGAAUGGGAAGUAGAUGUCCACAACACAUUGCUGAAUGUACAAUGUUGUGCACCCUAUGAGUCUAUUCAGAUAAAAAUGUAUGUAUUUAGCAAAGUGAAAGGACAAACGGUGUUUAUCGAAAUAGUAGCGUGGUCAUGUAAACGUAGUGGCAUGAUUAUUGAUUUUACUUAACUACCCUCCGCCUUGUUUUGUACGUGUUCAUUUUCUACACUAAAGAUUACUUUUGAAAGGAGGUUAGGAGACGAGGAGGUUACUGACCCCAGAACAGCCUGUGUAUGUUCCCAAAGCCUCCUUCCGGCAAAGCCAGUGUUUCUGGUUCAGCCUCACAAAGGAUUUCAUAAUAUUGUUUACAUGGUUUGAUGUUGAUUAUU